GGUUUACUCACGUUAAGCUGCAGCUCAUAUCAGUGUCGUCAUCUUUUAUUUUAACUUCAAAGAAGAUCGCCAACAUUCUGUCGAGGUUUUUGUUCGGUUGAAGUUUCUCUCGUCAUCUAUUCUACGUAUUGAAAAGAGAUAGUUUUGGUUUUAUUCUGAGAACUGUCUGCGGUCCAAGCAACACGGAGUAAGACGGUGAGAAGGACACGGGCACUUUCCCGAGGCGGAGUCGGGGGUGGAGGGGUGAAGAGAGGAGGCAUGGAGUGUGACGUGACCUUCUGCCACCAAGAGGAAAGAGAGACUAUGAUUGCAAGUGGACAAUACAGCUGUGUGUGUGUGUGUGUGUGUGUGUGUGUGUGUGUGUGUGUGUGUGAGAGAGAGAGAGA
ensembl:lncRNA